rnacentral:rRNA from 1 species
GAUGAACGCUGGCGGCGUGCCUAAUACAUGCAAGUCGAGCGAACAGACGAGGAGCUUGCUCCUCUGAUGUUAGCGGCGGACGGGUGAGUAACACGUGGAUAACCUACCUAUAAGACUGGGAUAACUUCGGGAAACCGGAGCUAAUACCGGAUAACAUGUUGAACCGCAUGGUUCAACAGUGAAAGACGGUCUUGCUGUCACUUAUAGAUGGAUCCGCGCCGCAUUAGCUAGUUGGUAAGGUAACGGCUUACCAAGGCAACGAUGCGUAGCCGACCUGAUAGGGUGAUCGGCCACACUGGAACUGAGACACGGUCCAGACUCCUACGGGAGGCAGCAGUAGGGAAUCUUCCGCAAUGGGCGAAAGCCUGACGGAGCAACGCCGCGUGAGUGAAGAAGGUCUUCGGAUCGUAAAACUCUGUUAUUAGGGAAGAACAAAUGUGUAAGUAACUAUGCACGUCUUGACGGUACCUAAUCAGAAAGCCACGGCUAACUACGUG